rnacentral:rRNA from 1 species
UAAUACGAAGGGGGCUAGCGUUGUUCGGAUUUACUGGGCGUAAAGCGCGUGUAGGCGGGCUGGAAAGUUGGGGGUGAAAUCCCGAGGCUCAACCUCGGAACUGCCUCCAAAACUUCCAGCCUGGACUCAAGUAGAGGCAAGUGGAAUUGCGAGUGUAGAGGUGAAAUUCGUAGAUAUUCGCAGGAACACCAGUGGCGAAGGCGACUUGCUGGACUUGUAGUGACGCUGAGACGCGAAAGCGUGGGGAGCAAACAGG